AUCGUUAAGUGCUAUAAUCCUUAAGAUAAAAAUUGAAUAAAGAUUUUUUAAAUAUAACUUUAUAACAAAGUUUUCUGGACCAGAGCCAGUAAAGUUUAUAACACAAUAAUAAUAGUUCUUGUAAAGUAUGUGCUCCUUGUAUUGUUCACAAAACGUUUAGAGAAUUCAACUUAUUAUGCCAAUUAGAUUUGUAAAUCUUCGAAUUAUUUGAAUAACUAGAAAGUGUUAAUUUUAAUGCUAAAGUUUGACUCACACAAUCUAUAGACAUUAAUAAAUUAGAAGUAUGUUUAUAAAUAUAAGACUAUUCGUUAUAAAUGACAUCCAGACACAGCCGCCGAGGAUUUGUGGAAAAAAGGGCACGUCACAGGAUUAGUUCCUGCGACACAAGGCGCCGUAGAUACCUUACCACUAGGUCGACGCACACUUAUGUGUCAUAUGUUGUACUUGUGGUAUUAUAGACUAUAUGGUAACGGAAUAAAAAUUCAAUGUUGAAAAAAAAAAUUAAAACCUCCAAUGUUAGGCUAUGAAAACAUAUUCACUAUUAAAACAAAUGAAAAAUAAAAAUUAAUACAAUAUUAUAGUUGGCAGAACUUAAUUUAGGAGGCGAUUGUGAAUAUAAGAAAAUAAUUAAAUAAAUAUUGUUUAAAGAAAAAAAAAAUGUAAAUUUACUUUGAAAAAGGGAAGAAAUUAUGUUAAUACCCCCAAAAGUUUGUUCGAAUUACAUUCAAUUCGGUCGGUGAUUACAUUUUCUGUUUACUAUUUUUCACGGUAAACCUGACAAACGAUAAAUGGUCGCAGUUCGUAUGUAACUAGGUAGAUGUUUUUAAUAAAACUUAGAUAAUCGCUGGAACAAUAAAUUAUUACCAAACUCAUGUAGAGAACUUUCGUUUAGAUUGAUAACUGAGGCUGAGGGUAACACGGAACCCUAUCAAUCUGAAAAUAUUUCUUAAUUGUAUAGUGAUUAUAUGUAAAUUUCAACAAAAGUUGGCCCUCCCGAAGUUCUACAAGUGUAAUAUUCAGCAAAACCGAUGAAUUAAAUUUCUCAAACUCCGACAAAUCAUAUUACUAAAUUGGUCGAUUUUAUAUUUUGGUUAAAGAAAGAAAUAGUUUAAGUAUGAAAGAACCAAAGAGUUCCAAGAGGGAUGAGAUUUCCCUUACUGGAAGGCACGAAAUAUUACAGAAAGUGGAAAAUAACUUUUGCAAACAUUGAACGUCACCAAAUUUCUGUGUAAUCCAAAAAAGGAGCACGUCAAAAGAUGAAAAUUUUGAGGAUUCAAUUUGUGUAUUACGAGGAAUAAGUGAGUAAAUAUGAAAAAUCAAGAAAACAUUGCGUCAUUGAUUUAUCUAUGGAAAACCUGUGGGAGCAUCUGUAAAUUUUUACACGAAAAUUGAUUAGAUGAUUGCGGCGCAAAUAUUUGGAAUACAUUUUUGGGCCUCGUAAAACUUAUAGUAAAUAGGAUACUUUCUAAAGAAUUAUGUUUUAUACGCAGUGUAUUGGGACACUUAAAAUAUAGGUCAGAACAUUAGAGAAACAAGGGCAUCACAGUAAACCACUAACACGCACGAACUUAGAGUUUGGUAAACUUCAAACUACUUAGAAGUUAUUACUUAUAAUUUGUAUAAAAUUUUGAUAUUGAGUGCUGCACAUCAAAAUGUUGUAAAUCUAUUUUUAUAAUAAAGCUCAAAAAGUAAUUACUCAAAAAGUUUUACGGUAUUUAAUUUAUCAGUAUUGAAUGUUUCUUCGCGUGAAGAAGAUUUCCUACCCAUUACUUUGGUUAAGGCGCCUAUUAUCAUCAAUGCAAUAAUAUUUUCAUGCUCACCCACAGUAGUUGAAAAAACGGAGAGUAUUUAAUUGUUUUAUUAUGGUUAUUUGGUAGACUUGUAGCGGAAGGUAAUGUUAACGAGAAACAUUUUAUUUUCACAACCGCAGAACUGUCGCGUUGUUAAAUAAUCAAUAGCCACUGCCUCGAUUAUUGUUAUUACAUUGUUAUUAUUAUUAUUGCGCAAAACCUCUGCCUGUAAUAAGUACACCAGUAUACAAGGUUUGUUAAUUAUAAGCCAUUAAGUUAUAAAUCUCUACCGGUUAAUUUGUUUCGUGACUUGCAAUAAACACCGAUGGUUUACAACAUUGUUGGAUGGAGAACUGUUUAUAAAAUAUCAACAUUGUUCUAAUCCCGUUCGUUAACCAAGAGAAAAUUAAAUAAACAGAGGAUUAUUCACUAUUUUGAUAAGUGGUAUUCAACACUCACAUGGAAAUAUUUUUUGGCGCACCUACAUAAAAAAAUAAUGAGUAUUUAUUAUUAUCAUGACUUUGGUGAUAUUCGUCACCAUCAAAGUUGAUAUCAAAUUCUUUGACUAUCGAAAUACACAAGAUUUUCUUUUGUAAACACUGUUGUCAUUUUAGUAUUUACACGUCUAAAUUCUGUAUUAAAUUUCCGGCUUAAUUAUUGACUAAGAGUAUUGAAGUUUUUUAUCAUAACUAAAUAACGUAACAAUUAAGAGUGAAAAAUAAAUUAUAGUUACUAGAAACGCUAAUAAUAUUAAUCAUAAUAAUAUUUAAUCUAAAAAAUGGAGAUAUUAAAAAUAUAAAGCAACAAGCUCCGGCUCAUUCUCUCUUUUAAAUUCAUGCAGUUAAAAUCAAUAUCGUUUAGGAUUAGGAUAUUAGAUAAAAAUUUAUCUUAAAAAAAAUGUAUUUCAAAACGUACGAAAAUGUAAGCAAAAUAUUUUAUGAAUAAUAAUAACAGUAAAAAAAAACAUAAUUGAUGUGAGUAAUCAAACAUUAUAAGUAAGAAUAAUACAUAUGAUUUUGAUAAAAUAGUAUAUAAAUAGGGUAAAAUUAGUUUGUACUGUUUUUUUACGGUUGGCGAUUACUUUGGAUUCUUGGUAAGUUCAAAUAUAUUACUGUACAUUUCCUAUGAUAGUGUUCUUGAACUCUUAUUGUUACAAAACCGCAAACCGUAGACGGAUAUAAAAUAUAACUAAUAUUUGUUUUUAAAAAUAAAAAAUUAUAAUAAAAAAUAAGGUUUUGAUGUAGUCUAAGAAUGCAUACAUUAUUAAAAAAAAGAAAAAACGCAAAAUAUUUAGUUAAUCAAUAGUUAUUAGACCACUCUGUCUAAUAUAAUUUUUUUAUUGGAGUGAAUAAGAAUACUGUGCAACUAAAAAAAACAAAUAAAAAUGUGUAAAAUAAAUUAAGUAAAUUGCGGAUUAUCGAAUUAAUUAAAUAAUCAUCAAUAGAUUGUUUCAACGAAUUUUUUCUAUGUUAUCCGUUUUACGAAGGAUACCUUUACUGAAUGAUGUUGUUUUAUGAGCCUAAUUUUAAUUUGAGUAACUAAUUGUAUCCGUCUGUAGUUGGGGGAUUUUAAACAGCAUACUGUUCAGGAAAACUAUCACUAUAUAUGUAUACCUGUGGUUAAAACUGGUUUUAUAGAGAAAUUUUUUUUUCUUUUUUUUAUUAUUAUAACGUUGAGUCCAAUAACACAACGUAGUAGAAUAAUUUGUUCAACCUUUCAGAUACGUGAACACGACUCGUCUCGUCGAUCACAACAAAUUCAAUAGUCAGGCGCCAAUUUGUUGUCCUUAUCAUGUCACAUGUUCUAAUAACACGUAGAAACGUAUGUCAACGGGUUUAUCGUGAAAGAGUUGUGACAGUUGGUGAAUACUUUAUCACUCACGUCUUGUGUAACAUAAGAUCUCGUGAUUGUCUCAAAACUUAAACCCGAAUGAAUUCCAGAAGUGUUGAUGUUUAAAUAUCAAGUACGUUCGAUUCGAUAAAAUUAAAAAAUAGUUUUAAAAUACAUUUUUAUUGUGUUUAAAUUGAUUAAAAUCGUAUAAAUUACGUAUAAUUGCUAUGUGCAUUGUAUUUCAUAAUUUUAUUUGUUUUUUACUAAAUUUUAAUUUUUAAUACAAUAGUUGCACCCAAAAUGUUAUCUAUUUAAAUUAUA